rnacentral:rRNA from 1 species
GAUGAACGCUGUCUACAGGCUUAACACAUGCCAGUCGAGGGGAAACGACGGGGAAGCUUGCUUCCCCGGGCGUCGACCGGCGCACGGGUGAGUAACGCGUAUCCAACCUGCCUCUGACUGAGGGAUAACCCGUCGAAAGUCGGCCUAAUACCUCAUGGCAUCGUCUGCGGGCAUCCAACGACGAUUAAAGAUUUCAUCGGUCAGGGAUGGGGAUGCGUCUGAUUAGCUUGUUGGCGGGGUAACGGCCCACCAAGGCUACGAUCAGUAGGGGUUCUGAGAGGAAGGUCCCCCACAUUGGAACUGAGACACGGUCCAAACUCCUACGGGAGGCAGCAGUGAGGAAUAUUGGUCAAUGGGCGGGAGCCUGAACCAGCCAAGUAGCGUGCAGGAUGACGGCCCUAUGGGUUGUAAACUGCUUUUAUGCGGGGAUAAAGUGAGGGACGUGUCCUUCAUUGCAGGUACCGCAUGAAUAAGGACCGGCUAAUUCCGUG